GACGAACGCUGGCGGCGUGCUUAACACAUGCAAGUCGAGCGGUAAGGCCCUUUCGGGGGUACGACGAGCGGCGAACGGGUGAGUAACACGUGGGUGACCUGCCCUCAGCUCUGGGAUAAGCCUGGGAAACCGGGUCUAAUACCGGAUAUGACUCCAUGACGCAUGUUGUGGGGUGGAAAGCCUUGUGCGGCUGAGGAUGGGCCCGCGGCCUAUCAGCUUGUUGGUGGGGUGAUGGCCUACCAAGGCGACGACGGGUAGCCGGCCUGAGAGGGCGACCGGCCACACUGGGACUGAGACACGGCCCAGACUCCUACGGGAGGCAGCAGUGGGGAAUCUUGCGCAAUGGGCGAAAGCCUGACGCAGCGACGCCGCGUGAGGGAUGACGGCCUGGUU
rnacentral:rRNA from 1 species